rnacentral:rRNA from 1 species
AUUGAACGCUGGCGGCAGGCUUAACACAUGCAAGUCGAGCGGGGUGAUGGUGCUUGCACUAUCACUUAGCGGCGGACGGGUGAGUAAUGCUUAGGAAUCUGCCUAUUAGUGGGGGACAACAUUUCGAAAGGAAUGCUAAUACCGCAUACGUCCUACGGGAGAAAGCAGGGGAUCUUCGGACCUUGCGCUAAUAGAUGAGCCUAAGUCGGAUUAGCUAGUUGGUGGGGUAAAGGCCUACCAAGGCGACGAUCUGUAGCGGGUCUGAGAGGAUGAUCCGCCAGACGGGGACUGGAACCCGGCCCAGACUCCUACGGGAGGCAGCAGUGGGGAAUAUUGGACAAUGGGCGGAAGCCUGCUCCAGCCAUGCCGCGUGUGUGAAGAAGGCCUUAUGGUUGUAAAGCACUUUAAGCGAGGAGGAGGCUACUUUAGUUAAUACCUAGAGAUAGUGGACGUUACUCGCAGAAUAAGCACCGGCUAACUCUGUGCCAGCCGCCGCAGUAACAC